UUGCAGGCUGCAACUCGCCUGCAUGAAGUCGGAAUUGCUAGUAAUCGCGGAUCAGCAUGCCGCGGUGAAUACGUUCCCGGGCCUUGUACACACCGCCCGUCACACCAUGAGAGUCGGGAACACCCGAAGUCCGUAGUCUAACCGCAAGGGGGGCGCGGCCGAAGGUGGGUCCGGUAAUUGGGGUGAAGUCGUAACAAGGUAGC
rnacentral:rRNA from 1 species